AUGCUCACUUCCACAGCACAUAUACCAAGAUAAGAACUGAUACAGAGAUUAGCAUAGCCCCUGUACAAGGACGACAAGCAAAUUCAUGCGAAGAAAAAAAACACA
ensembl:snRNA U6 U6 spliceosomal RNA